rnacentral:rRNA from 1 species
UCCUACUGGAGGCAACAAUGGGGAGAUUGAAAGGGGGGGGAGACCCUGUGGCACUGAUGCCCCGUGUGUACUCAUAGCCUUCGGGUUGUAGGGCACUUUCGCUUGUGAGGAAAAGUUCUUACUUAAUACCUGCUCGCCGUGACUUUAAGUUUUCAAAUCGCACCGGCUAACUCCGUGCCAACAACCCCGGUAAUACUGAGGGUGCGAGCGUUAAUCGGAAUUACUGGGCGAAAAGCGCACUCAUGCGGUUUGUUAAGCUACAUGUGAAAGCCCCGGGCUCACCCUGGGAUGGUCAUUUGGAACUGGCACACUAGAAUCUUGGAUAGGGGAGUGGAAUUCCAAGUGUACCGCUGAAAUGCGUAAAUAUCUGGAGGAACAUCACUGGCGAAGGCGACUCCCUGGCCAAAAACUGACGCUCAUGUACUAAAGUGUGGGUAGAUCACAAGAUUAGAUACCCUCGUAGGCCACUUCGUAGACUCUGUCUACUACCUGUGUGUGACUUUAUGGCGUGCGUAGCGAAUCUGACACGCUGAGUAUACCGCCUGGGGAGUACGGCCACUAGGUGAUGACUCAUAUGAAUUGACAG